GUCCCAAACAUUUUGACGAAAUAACAUCUUUAUUUUCGGCAAGUUGUCCUUUCGGCAAAUUGUCCUUUCGGCAAACUGUCCGUUCGGCAAAAUUAAAUGAUCUAUUUUCUGUCCCUUUGACGGUUUGAAUCAUAUUGUAUUAAAUAGAUAGAGAACUUUAUUAUAUAAAGUACAGUGCUUUAUAGAGAUCUUGAAAACUCAUUAAUAAUUCACGAGGAAAAGACGAAGGAAAUCAUUGCCGUGUCGGUGGUUUUAUAUGUGAUAAAAAAU